GGGACUAAAUACUUAACGUAUUUCUACACAACAUAACUCAUAUAUACUAAUGGAUGACAUUCAGUUGCAAACAAUGACUUGUAUUCAUAAAUAAAAUGGAAAGGAUACACUUUUAUACUUAAUUAAGUUCUUCCUGAAAAUGCUGCUUUGAACUAAGUACAACUAGAGUAAACCUUUUUGAUAGUACUUAUUUGGCAAUUUGCCCAGGAAACCUAACUCAGGCCCAGCACCUCUGAAGGAAGUUCUGUUCAUGCACUUCCUCCUGCUCCAAGCUUCCAGCUGUAAAAAGCGCCUGAGGGGGUGAAGCCAGCCAAUGUGUAUAGAACAGGAAGCAUGCCCUUCCCCCUUUCACUAACUGCUCUGCAGACCAUGAGAAUCAAACAUCACAAUGAAAGUACACACAGGGGGCUGGGGAUUAAGCUCAGUGGUAGAGCGCUUACCUAGGAAGCGCAAGGCCCUGGGUUUGAUCCCCAGCUCCGAAAAAAAGAACCAAAAAAAAAAAAAAAAAAAGUACACACAGAACAGGUUGGGAACCAGAAAGACGCAGGGCAACAUUUUCUGUCCUAAACACAGCACUGACAGGGUGCUUCACACUGGUGCCCUGGCUUCAUAUGG
rnacentral:lncRNA from 1 species